UGCUCAUUCAUCCACGGGUGGGGAUUUGUUGCAUUACUUGUGUUCUAUAUAAAGUAUUGCACUUGUCCCGGCCUGUGGAAGAAAGGAGGAUU
rnacentral:pre_miRNA from 1 species